rnacentral:lncRNA from 1 species
CUCACAAAGUCUUAAGAUACGUCAAAAAGGCUCCAGGGCAGGUUUUGCUUUAUCCAUCUCAAACGAACCUACAAUUAACAGGAUAUUGUGAUUCAGAUUGGGAAGCAUGCUAAGAUACAAGGAGAUCGGUUUCUGGUUAUUGUGUAUUUAUUGGAUCUUUAUUGGUAUCUUGGAAAUUUAAAAGGCAGGGGGUUGUGUCUUGAUCUUCUGCAGAAGCAGAAUACUGAGCAACGGAAAAUUUGUGUUUUGAACUAACAUGGAUGAGAUAUUUAUUUAGUGAUUUGCAUCAAACACCGGCAACCAGCAAGGCCGGUCCUGAGGCGAGGCGGUUGAGGCCUGCACCUCAGGCCCAAGACCCAAGGGGGCCUCAUUUCCUUGGGCCCUUUUUUUUUUCUCAAAUCAAUCGAAGGAAGAAACCCCAAGGGGCCUCAUUUUCAUCGCCUCUCACCUCUCCGCUCCACCGGACCGGUGACGGCCAUUGCGGCACUCAUCUUCCAACUUUCUUUCCAACCAUGUCUACCAAAUCCAGGUAAGUGAAUCUCAUCUCAGGUUUUCUUGGGCUUUUUUUGUUUUGUCUAUCUCCCGCUUUUUGGCCUAUUUUUUCUUGUUGAUGGGGUUCGAAUUUUCAAAGUUUUAUGCCUUACUGCCUUAAUUCUUGAAUUUUUAUGUUAUUUCACUCAAUCCCUAACUUUUCAGUAGCAAUUUCGUAAUAUAUCACGGCACUGGAUGUUUUUGUAGAUAUGAUCUAUGGGCUUUGAUUUAUUUUGGGCAGACUAGUUACGAUUUUCUCAUUUUCAUAGGUCUUCACUCUUCUUUAUCUGAGACUCCCAACAAAAAGGCAUCACCAGCUACUCCUCGGGUGAGCAAGCCCAGCAGGGGAAUUUCUAAAUCUGAAGUUGAUUCACCAUCUCCACUACAGCUAAGUUCUCGCUUUUCAGUUGAUCGGUCUCCUAGAUCUGUUCCUUCAAGCCUACGCGGGACCGACGGUCUCCCAAGUUCAC